AUACUGAUUGAGAGGGGAGAAAAGAGAACUAAAAUAUAUACUAAACAUGAAUAACUGAAACAUGAGCUCAUGACUGACAUGACUGACAAACUGAACAUAGAAUACUGAACAUGCAUAUCUGAUGCAUGUGUAACUGAUUCAUGAAUGCAUGAUUGAGUCUUCUUAAGAACUUUCUCACAAUGAGAAUGCAUGUAUGUUGC
rnacentral:lncRNA from 1 species